rnacentral:siRNA from 1 species
GAUAACUGAACGCCGAGAACUACU